rnacentral:rRNA from 1 species
CCUACGGGGGGCAGCAGUGAGGAAUAUUGGUCAAUGGACGAGAGUCUGAACCAGCCAAGUAGCGUGAAGGAUGACUGCCCUAUGGGUUGUAAACUUCUUUUAUAUGGGAAUAAAAUGUUCCACGUGUGGGAUUUUGUAUGUACCAUAUGAAUAAGGAUCGGCUAACUCCGUGCCAGCAGCCGCGGUAAGACGGAGGAUCCGAGCGUUAUCCGGAUUUAUUGGGUUUAAAGGGAGCGUAGGUGGAUUGUUAAGUCAGUUGUGAAAGUUUGCGGCUCAACCGUAAAAUUGCAGUUGAAACUGGCAGUCUUGAGUACAGUAGAGGUGGGCGGAAUUCGUGGUGUAGCGGUGAAAUGCUUAGAUAUCACGAAGAACUCCGAUUGCGAAGGCAGUUCACUGGACUGCAACUGACACUGAGGCUCGAAAGUGUGGGUAUCAAACAGGAGUAGAUACCCGUGUAGUC